CGUAGCCCACGCUUCCUGGAACGGUGUGUGGGUAAUAGCUCCAGCGGCCUAGGAUAGCUCUGCGGCCUAUCAGGUUGUAGCGAGGGUAACGUCCUCGCUAGCCUACGACGGGUAUGGGUGUUGGGAGACAUCGCCCAGAGAUGGAUUCUGAGACACGAAUCCAGGCCCUACGGGGCGCAGCAGGCGCGAAAACUGCACAAUGUGGGAAACCACGAUGCGGGAAGCCCAAGUGCCAGCGCUAUGCGUUGGCUGUCCUCAACCGUUCAUUGGUUGGGAAGAAAGUGCUGGGUAAGACGGGUGCCAGCCGCCGCGGUAAUACCCGCAGCACAAGUGGUGGUCAUUAUUAUUGGGCCUAAAGCGUCCGUAGCUUGCGUGUUAGAUGCCUGGGUAAAUCGAUGCGCUUAACGCAUCGAAUUCCGGGUAGACCGGCACGCUCGAGACCGGGAGAGGUGUAGGGUACUCGGGGGGUAGGGGUAAAAUCCUGUAAUCCUUCGGGGACGACCAGUGGCGAAGGCGCUACACUAGAACGGCUCUGACAGUGAGGGACGAAGCCCUGGGGCGCAAACCGGAUUAGAUACCCGGGUAGUCCAGGUGUAAACG
rnacentral:rRNA from 1 species